AUGUUACUUUUACUUGCAUUUUUCAUCUGUGCGUUAGAUAUAUGUGCGAAAUCAGAAGAAAAAAGUUUUGAUGCAAAGACACCAUGUAAGACGAAUAAAGAAUGUCAACCAUAUUGUGUAAUUGGAUCUGGAAUAUGUGACCUGGGAAGGUGUUGGUGCUUUCUUCCACCAUCUUCUGCCGACAGUAUUCCUACUAUAAUACCUCCAAAUUGA